rnacentral:rRNA from 1 species
CCUGCUAAAUAGCCAGGCUGGCUUUUGCUGGUCUUCAGCUUCUUAGAGGGACUGUCAGUGUCUAACUGAUGGAAGUUUGAGGCAAUAACAGGUCUGUGAUGCCCUUAGAUGUUCUGGGCUGCACAUGCACUACACUGACAGAGCUAGUGAGCUUUUUUUUUUCCUUGGCUGGAAGGUCUG